AACGAACGCUGGCGGCAUGCCUAACACAUGCAAGUCGAACGAGACCUUCGGGUCUAGUGGCGCACGGGUGCGUAACGCGUGGGAACCUGCCCUUAGGUUCGGAAUAACUCCCCGAAAGGGGUGCUAAUACCGGAUAAUUUCUUCUGACCCAACAUUUAUCGCCUUUGGAUGGGCCCGAGUUGGAUUAGCUAGGUGGUAGGGUAAAAGCCUACCAAGGCGACGAUCCAUAGCUGGUCUGAGAGGAUGAUCAGCCACACUGGGACUGAGACACGGCCCAGACUCCUACGGGAAGCAGCAGUGGGGAAUAUAGGAAAAUGGGCGAAAGGCUGAUCCAGCAAUGCCGCGUGAGUGAUGAAGGCCUUAGGGUUGUAAAGCUCUUUUACCCGGGAUGAUAAUGACAGUACCGGGAGAAUAAGCUCCGGCUAACUCCGUG
rnacentral:rRNA from 1 species